UGCAUUCGAUACUGGGAAGUUAGAGUAUGGGAGAGGGAUGGUAGAAUUCCAGGUGUAGCGGUGAAAUGCGUAGAGAUCUGGAGGAAUACCGAUGGGGAAGGCAGCCAUCUGUCCUAAUACUGACGCUGAGGUACGAAAGCAUGGGGAGCAACACAGGAUUAGAUACCCUGGUAGUCCAUGCCGUAAACGAUGUCUACUAGCCGUUGGGGCCUUUGAGGCUUUAGUGGCGCAGCUAAACGCGAUAAGUAGACCGCCUGGGGAGUACGGUCGCAAGACUAAAACUCAAAUGAAUUGACGGGGGCCCGCACAAGCGGUGGAGCAUGUGGUUUAAUUCGAUGCAACGCGAAGAACCUUACCUGGCCUUGACAUACUAGAAACUUUCCAGAGAUGGAUUGGUGCCUUCGGGAAUCUAGAUACAGGUGCUGCAUGGCUGUCGUCAGCUCGUGUCGUGAGAUGUUGGGUUAAGUCCCGCAACGAGCGCAACCCUUUUCCUUACUUGCCAGCAUUUCGGAUGGGAACUUUAAGGAUACUGCCAGUGACAAACUGGAGGAAGGCGGGGAGGACGUCAAGUCAUCAUGGCCCUUACGGCCAGGGCUACACACGUGCUACAAUGGUCGGUACAAAGGGUUGCUACACAGCGAUGUGAUGCUAAUCUCAAAAAGCCGAUUGUAGUCCGGAUUGGAGUCUGCAACUCGACUCCAUGAAGUCGGAAUCGUUAGUAAUCGCGGAUCAGAAUGCCGCGGUGAAUACGUUCCCGGGCCUUGUACACACCGCCCGUCACGGCCAUGGGAGUUUGUUGCACCAUAAGUAGGUAGUCUAACCGCAAGGAGGACGCUUAACGCAGCCGGGGG
rnacentral:rRNA from 1 species